rnacentral:lncRNA from 1 species
AAAGCAUAUAAAUUAUUAUUUUAAAAAUCAAUAAAAACUCUCAAUCACUUUUUAUGUUCGAUCUCUUUCUAUUUCUUUCUGAGAUAAAGAUUUAUUUUUUUUAUUUUUUUUUUUAAUUGGACAACUGAAGAAAAUCUUUGGAGUUAGCCUCUACAAUGAUCGUGCUCAUUAGAAGAAGAUCGGACUGAGAUAGAUCAUUGUAUUUUGAGAAUAUGAUCAUCGAAGAUCUGUACGUAGGAAACGAAUCACAUUCUUAGGAU